rnacentral:tRNA from 1 species
GCGGCCGUAGUCUAGCCAGGUAGGACUCAGGCUCCCCGGGCCUGAUGCGCGGGUUCAAAUCCCGCCGGCCGCA